GAGCCGUGUGCAGGCUGCGAGGGGCGGAGGUUUUGCACUCGCUCUCACCGGCCACGGAUAAAUAGGAGGCGGCGGCGACUCCUGCCAAAGCUGCUCUUCCCAUUGCCCAGCGCCUCCGACAGCCGGCAUCCAGCCCAGCCCAGGCGGACAUGGACUCCCAGGACUGCCCUUGUGCCACCGGUGGCACCUGUACCUGCGGGGAUAACUGCAAAUGUAAAAACUGCAAAUGCACAUCCUGCAAAAAAGGCUGCUGCUCCUGCUGCCCAGCAGGAUGUGCCAAGUGUGCACAGGGCUGCGUCUGCAAGGGGCCUCCCUCUGCCAAGUGCAGCUGCUGCAAAUGAGGACUCCCAGCUGCACAUCUGGGGGUGCUACACAUCUGAGGGGAUGAAGAAUAACCUUAUUGUGUAUGUUGGGGUUUUUUUAUAUAUGUGUUCAGAUAUCUUUAGUGUUUGUCACUGUGAUGUGUAAUAAGGUACCUAAAUAAAAUGAUGUGUGUAUAUAAGUCUAUAA